ncrna:Schistosoma mansoni type-P1 twister ribozyme
CGUAUAACUCCGCCUGUAGCACCUCCGGGGGCUAUUGCCGGUCUCAAGACCGGAUAAAGGAGGAGGGUUGG